rnacentral:rRNA from 1 species
GAACGAACGCUGGCGGCAGGCUUAACACAUGCAAGUCGAGCGCCCGCAAGGGGAGCGGCAGACGGGUGAGUAACGCGUGGGAAUCUACCUAUCACUACGGAACAACUCCGGGAAACUGGAGCUAAUACCGUAUACGUCCGAGAGGAGAAAGAUUUAUCGGUGAUAGAUGAGCCCGCGUUGGAUUAGCUAGUUGGUGGGGUAAUGGCCUACCAAGGCGACGAUCCAUAGCUGGUCUGAGAGGAUGAUCAGCCACACUGGGACUGAGACACGGCCCAGACUCCUACGGGAGGCAGCAGUGGGGAAUAUUGGACAAUGGGCGAAAGCCUGAUCCAGCCAUGCCGCGUGAGUGAUGAAGGCCUUAGGGUUGUAAAGCUCUUUCACCGGUGAAGAUAAUGACGGUAACCGGAGAAGAAGCCCCGGCUAACUUCGUG